AUUUGAUAUUAUUAGUCUAAACGCUACCAAAAGUAUCUCUAAUCUUGAAAUUCUCCAUAUUCUUCCAUAAUUUAAGACAGCACUUGCCUUAGCUUCAUUAUUUUAAAAUGAUAGCUUAGAGUGAAACCUACUUGAUAUAUAGAUGAAGGGAGCAUAUGUAAAGGAUUAUAUUUCUUAAGUCUUUCAUCCGUUAUACAUUUAGAAAACUUGAUAGGCAUAGAUGUGUGUUCUUUGCCACUGUGGCUUCCUUCUCAGGGUAACUGCCAUUCAUUCACCAAACUCCUGUUGUGUGCAUCUUUCUUAGAUGAAAAUUAUGGCUGGCAUUAUGUGAUCCCUGUUCUUAAGAUGUUUGUGGUCUAAAUGGAGCAAAUAAGGCAUUCACAUGUGAAAAGUUAAAUAAUAUAACAAACUAAAAUAGAUGUCAUAAGUUUUAUAGUGCCAGUAUGAUAAGGGAAUUUGGAAGAAAGAGAGACUCUUAUAAACUGGUGUCGUUACAGAAGGCAUUUGGAAGAGGUAGAAUUUGAUCUGAAUCUUGAAAUGUGAAUAGGGAACUAUCCCAUUUGGUGGCAUAAAAAUGAUUUUAUUCCUAUAAAAGGAUCCUAUCUGAGCAUUCGAUAUGGUGUGGUUUUCUGGUGCUGCUGAAUCUUAAAUUAAAAAUGCUUUAAAAUUUGUGCUUUGGUG
rnacentral:lncRNA from 1 species